rnacentral:rRNA from 1 species
GACGAACGCUGGCGGCGUGCUUAACACAUGCAAGUCGAACGGAAAGGCCCUGCUUUUGUGGGGUGCUCGAGUGGCGAACGGGUGAGUAACACGUGAGUAACCUGCCCUUGACUUUGGGAUAACUUCAGGAAACUGGGGCUAAUACCGGAUAGGAGCUCCUGCUGCAUGGUGGGGGUUGGAAAGUUUCGGCGGUUGGGGAUGGACUCGCGGCUUAUCAGCUUGUUGGUGGGGUAGUGGCUUACCAAGGCUUUGACGGGUAGCCGGCCUGAGAGGGUGACCGGCCACGUUGGGACUGAGAUACGGCCCAGACUCCUACGGGAGGCAGAAGUGGGGAAUAUUGCACAAUGGGCGGAAGCCUGAUGCAGCAACGCCGCGUGCGGGAUGACGGCCUUCGGGUUGUAAACCGCUUUCGCCUGUGACGAAGCGUGAGUGACGGUAAUGGGUAAAGAAGCACCGGCUAACUACGUG